UGAUGACAUAAAGUCCAGGUGAUAAGCAUUUGGGAACAAAAGAAGUUUUGCAAAAUAAAAAGAUCAUAAUAGUGUGUUCAUUAAUAAUGUAAUAUAUUUAAUCCAUCGGGGGACUAAUGAAAAUUUCCCUAUAAAUUGUUUAUAUCCAAUAUAGAGAGAGAAAAUAGAGAAAACAGAGACAGAGGAAAAUAUGUCGAGAGAUAUGGCAAAUUAGAGAAAAGCGGUAAAGGAAAAACCCUCAUUUAGGCCAGCAGGGGAGAGGGUCUUGAGCCUGUAGAUCCAAUAGGAUUCACGUUGUCUCAGUUUCUUAUCCCAAUCGCCCUUACGUUGAGUUUGUGGGAUAUGUUCUAUUCCCAUGAACUUUAGUUUGUUGGCAGAAUUCAAAUGGUGAAUUCUCAAAUGACGUGAGAUUGGGGUUUCUAAGGGUCUUCUAACCGAAUUUACAUGUUCCCUAAUCCUUAGUUUGAAAGGUCUAAACGUUUUCCCCACAUAUUUAACGCCACAUGAACAGGUAAGUAAGUAAAUGACGCCUUCCGUCCUACAAUUGAUAAACGAGUGGACUGAAAAGGUUUCAUUAUUACUGCUGUCCGUAAAUUCCUUAGAUUUUUGAUCAAUAAAUUCACAUGCGCUGCAGUGUCCGCACCUAUACGUCCCCUUGGGCAAAUAGUUUUGAGACCCUCUUUUAGGGGGGGAUAGAUGGCUCUGCACCAAUGUAUCCCGUAGGUUUUUGCCCCUCCGUGCUGUCACAGAGGGAAACAUGGUGACUACCUGUUUGAUUUGUGGAUCAGAUGUUAGGAUUGGCCAAAAUCGCUUCAGUGUACCCAUCAUAAAGUCCCAACCUGCAUCAUACGUGGCAAUACAUCGGAUUAGUUUUUGAUCUUGUGCUUGCACCUUAACAUCUGUUAAGAGUGACUCACGUUCGGUGCUUAUUGCUCUAGUGUACGCUCUGCGUAACACUCUAUUGGGAUAGCCCUUAUCCUUGAAGGCUCGCCUGAGAUCCCAUGCCUUGACUUUGAAGUCAUCUAUGGAAGAACAGUUACGCCGCAAUCUUAGGUAUUGCCCAAUUGGUAUACCUGCCUUUAGGGGUUGGGGGUGAUGACUAUGCCAAUUUAGCAGACUAUUGGUGGCAGUAUGUUUUUUAUAAAGGGUGGUUGAGGCCCUUCCUCCGGAAAUGGUUAUAGUAAUAUCCAAAAAAUUAAGUUGUUUGCCGCCUAUCUCGCUAGUGAAUCUUAGAUUCAGAUCAUUCACAUUAAGGAGGCUUACAAAGGUCUCAAAAUCUUUUUUGCUCCCUGUCCAUAUGACCAGAACGUCAUCUAUAUAGCGUUUCCAACAGAAUAUCAUCUCCAUGAAGUAGCUCAAAUGUGGGGCUGAUCUAAUGAGAUUUUCCCAGGUCCCCAAAUAGAGAUUAGCAUAUGAGGGGGCACAGGAAGUCCCCAUAGCUGUCCCCCUAAUUUGCUGAUAGAUGGUACCAUUAAAGAUAAAGAUAUUUCUUGUAAGGACCAUUUUAAGUAUGUUGGAAACCAAAUCUGUGUAUGCGACUGGAGUGUGCAAUUCAUGUUCAAGGAUAGUUCUAAUAUUAUCAAUUCCUUGAAUAUGUGGUAUGGAACUAUACAGCGACUCCACAUCCAGACUGCAUAGAAGUGGGAACCCUAUGGUUGCAAAAUUACCCUCUUACAUAAGGGACACGAAACAGAUGCUUAAUUUCCUGAAGGAUAUCUCCAUACCGGAACAAGCACUUCUAUGCAGUCUGGAUGUGGAGUCGCUGUAUAGUUCCAUACCACAUAUUCAAGGAAUUGAUAAUAUUAGAACUAUCCUUGAACAUGAAUUGCACACUCCAGUCGCAUACACAGAUUUGGUUUCCAACAUACUUAAAAUGGUCCUUACAAGAAAUAUCUUUAUCUUUAAUGGUACCAUCUAUCAGCAAAUUAGGGGGACAGCUAUGGGGACUUCCUGUGCCCCCUCAUAUGCUAAUCUCUAUUUGGGGACCUGGGAAAAUCUCAUUAGAUCAGCCCCACAUUUGAGCUACUUCAUGGAGAUGAUAUUCUGUUGGAAACGCUAUAUAGAUGACGUUCUGGUCAUAUGGACAGGGAGCAAAAAAGAUUUUGAGACCUUUGUAAGCCUCCUUAAUGUGAAUGAUCUGAAUCUAAGAUUCACUAGCGAGAUAGGCGGCAAACAACUUAAUUUUUUGGAUAUUACUAUAACCAUGUCCGGAGGAAGGGCCUCAACCACCCUUUAUAAAAAACAUACUGCCACCAAUAGUCUGCUAAAUUGGCAUAGUCAUCACCCCCAACCCCUAAAGGCAGGUAUACCAAUUGGGCAAUACCUAAGAUUGCGGCGUAACUGUUCUUCCAUAGAUGACUUCAAAGUCAAGGCAUGGGAUCUCAGGCGAGCCUUCAAGGAUAAGGGCUAUCCCAAUAGAGUGUUACGCAGAGCGUACACUAGAGCAAUAAGCACCGAACGUGAGUCACUCUUAACAGAUGUUAAGGUGCAAGCACAAGAUCAAAAACUAAUCCGAUGUAUUGCCACGUAUGAUGCAGGUUGGGACUUUAUGAUGGGUACACUGAAGCGAUUUUGGCCAAUCCUAACAUCUGAUCCACAAAUCAAACAGGUAGUCACCAUGUUUCCCUCUGUGACAGCACGGAGGGGCAAAAACCUACGGGAUACAUUGGUGCAGAGCCAUCUAUCCCCCCCUAAAAGAGGGUCUCAAAACUAUUUGCCCAAGGGGACGUAUAGGUGCGGACACUGCAGCGCAUGUGAAUUUAUUGAUCAAAAAUCUAAGGAAUUUACGGACAGCAGUAAUAAUGAAACCUUUUCAGUCCACUCGUUUAUCAAUUGUAGGACGGAAGGCGUCAUUUACUUACUUACCUGUUCAUGUGGCGUUAAAUAUGUGGGGAAAACGUUUAGACCUUUCAAACUAAGGAUUAGGGAACAUGUAAAUUCGGUUAGAAGACCCUUAGAAACCCCAAUCUCACGUCAUUUGAGAAUUCACCAUUUGAAUUCUGCCAACAAACUAAAGUUCAUGGGAAUAGAACAUAUCCCACAAACUCAACGUAAGGGCGAUUGGGAUAAGAAACUGAGACAACGUGAAUCCUAUUGGAUCUACAGGCUCAAGACCCUCUCCCCUGCUGGCCUAAAUGAGGGUUUUUCCUUUACCGCUUUUCUCUAAUUUGCCAUAUCUCUCGACAUAUUUUCCUCUGUCUCUGUUUUCUCUAUUUUCUCUCUCUAUAUUGGAUAUAAACAAUUUAUAGGGAAAUUUUCAUUAGUCCCCCGAUGGAUUAAAUAUAUUACAUUAUUAAUGAACACACUAUUAUGAUCUUUUUAUUUUGCAAAACUUCUUUUGUUCCCAAAUGCUUAUCACCUGGACUUUAUGUCAUCA